UAUGCAUGUAUAGUAAUUAGGACUC
rnacentral:piRNA from 1 species